rnacentral:rRNA from 1 species
UGCCAGCCGCCGCGGUAACACGGGGGGCGCAAGCGUUAUUCGGAAUUAUUGGGCGUAAAGGGCGCGCAGGCGGUCUUGUCAGUCAGGUGUGAAGGCCCGGGGCUCAACCCCGGAUGGUCACUUGAAACAGCAAGACUAGAGGACGAGAGGGGAGCAUGGAACUCUAGGUGGAGCGGUGAAAUGCGUAGAUAUUCUGAGGAAUACCGGUGGCGAAGGCGGCCCCCUGGAUUGACACUGACGCUGAGGUGCGAAAGCGUGGGGAGCAAACAGGAUUAGAUA